UGUUAACCUGCUGCCCCGAUCCCUCCCUGGCGCACACUGGUGGCACACAAGGGUGCACCCCGACUCUGUGUCCCGGGAAGGGGUUACUGCUGCGAGCCCGGCCGGGGAGAGGUGACCGAACGAGGACCUGGCUCCCAACUCCUGCUCUCCGGCCGUCGCAGCAUGGAAAGGGGAUGCUGGAGGGGAGCACACGUUGGGAACAGCGGUGCUUGGGGGCUGUGCCAGCCCUUUGCGCUGCCUGCUCUCAGCGAGGCAGAAAAUUGGUUGUAAAGGGGAACUCGCACACACCUGUUUGCAGCUGAAGCUGGAGGAGCUUAUGUUAGAGGUCACCUGGACUCCACUGCUGUCAAAUAUUGGCUGCGAGAUGGGUUUUCUGAAUGCCAUGUUUUACUUGGUGACACAUCCAGAACCUCUGGGAAGAGCUUUUUCAAAUAAGCUUAUCCUCAAGCUUUUUGCAGUUCUCUUUUUUUCCCCUUUUUUUUUCCUUCUUCCUUCUUAUAAAGAGAAUUAGGCAAUCACAGCAUUUUGAUGAAGUUGCGUCUUAGCCUCUUGCUUCAUAGCACGUGGCCUUCCUGAAGAAUCAAGGAAAAGCUGAUAAAUUGGGUGUAGGAGACUUCCCUGUCUUUCCUUUCCCCAUCUAACGUUCCUCCCUGUGCUGCCCUCGGAGCGUGUCCUGCUCCUAGUUGCUCUCUUAACUUGUCCCUACUUAUAACAUUCUGUACAUAAAACACAACCGGGUGCUUUUCACUCUGAUUAAAAUCAUGCUCUGUAAAAGAAAAUCCAAAUUAGCUCUGGCCUUUGGGCUCCUGACAAGUUUCCAGCGCUGCUUUCAGCACCGCAGAGAUUGCGUAACUCCACAUCUUCUGUGCAGUGACGUCUCCCCCUCGUCAUGAGCUGGGCUGGCUGCCGCACAUGCAGGUUCAGCUAUUAAUACUUCAAGCAGCUUUUAGCACUGAAGGAGGAAGAGAGAUUGCCAGCAGCUGGGUGGCAUGCAGCAACUUGUUUUUUCUUGCUAGGGGACAAUGAUGUGGGAAGGGGUAAAAGGAGGAGGAUUUCCUGGGUAAUUCCCCAAGUUUUGAUGUUUGUGCAAAUACCUCCUGGUCUAAUGUGUGCUGAGUGACUGGGGAGCCCAGUGCAGGGAGAGCUAAUGCUUCAGUACAGGUUAACCCUUGAAGGAAGAGUACAGUAGCAUCUUAUACAAACUAUGGCUUGAGUUUGCCAGAUCUUGUAUGCAAUGAAGCACAGGGCGCUUUCCUGCCUCCUCCAGGGAUUCAAGCCAGGUACGCUGUUACACCAUUUCAGCAUUGCUCACAGAAGUGCUGAGCCUGCAGCUAUCGUGUCGGGUUUUCGGCAGAAACCUUUGCGUCUCGGCAACUUCCUCCAAGGAUGCUGAACCAAACGCCGUCCAGACUUGCGAGUGAACGAGUUGCAAAUGACAUCACUGAUUCGAAACGGCGCGUAGGCACGACGUGGGCGAAUGUUCCCUGCGCUGGGUGUUUUCUAAAGCAGAUGCAAAGAUCAUAUUGCCAAUUCUGGGUAUACUUUGGGCAGUUUCAUGCAGAGAACUGGAAUGCUUUUUUGGUCCGGAGCUUUGCUUUUUGGCAGCCUUAAGCCUCUUGAUGUGAAAAUAAUCGGGAUUGCUCGUGGGCCAUCUCUUUGUCAGCUGAGUAUCAUCUCCACUAUUUUUUUAACCAGCCAUGCCCUGCCGGGUGAAAGCCACUGUCUUCUGACUGAUGGGUGUAAGUUCUCGCCCUGCUCCCAAGAGACAAGUAGGCAUAUUUGUGUGUACAUGUAUGUGGUUUGGCCAGUACCCAGAAGUGACAAAAGUCCCAGAAAAUUUCCCUUUCUCCCUUCUGGCAACCUCCCUGCCCUGCUCCCCCUUCUUUUUCCUCCCUGUAUGCCACCUACAGCAUCUGGCAUGUGCUUUGGGAGAUGCAUGAAGCCAGCCAUGGACUGUGGAUGCUUUUAUUGUGCAGCAAUGUGUGCUCUCUUCUCCCAUCCCCUCUUGUCUGCUGCAGAGCAGAGUGCUGGUAGUCAUGUCCUUGAUAAGAAUAGGUUGCUUGCUAAGACCCUUACGUGUAAUCAUAGCCCAGCAUCCUAGAGCCACUGAUAAACUAUUUUUCCCUGCUGAUACCAGCCCUUAGCCCACCAUGAACCUUGCUGAAGGUAUGGGAAUGGCUAGACAAUACUAGACUUGUGGGUGAAGGAUGUUGUGCAGCAAAGGUUAUCUUUUGGGAGAUCAGAAGAUGAUGUGCCUAUAGAUGUAUUCUGUAGAGGGUGCAGGGUGAAAUGAAUUCCAUAGACCCUGUUUUUUUGAUCUCUAACAGUAACUUUAACCACAGAAAAAUUCCCACACUCAGCCCCUAGCAAUGGCCUUGGCUAACGUGACCUCUACUUAGCACCGUGACCCAAACCCCACUACAAUCCUGACUAUACUGGCCCGUACAACAGUGAGCCAUACCUGACCGAUAGCUAAUUGUAAGCCAUACGCACAAGCAUGUAUUGUAGUGCUAGGGGACCAUAUCAUCUUCCUACCAUUCUAGCUCUUCAGUUCUAAGCCCUACGUCCUAUUCCUGACAUUUUCUCUAGCCUCCACUGCCCACCCAUGGCAAUAAUUCACCCCAAACUUUAGGUUGAGUGCAUCCAUCGUCCCUCCAGACCUAAUGACAAGCUGCUUCAUUUGGUUAGCUCUAGUGCCUUUGCAGCCCUAUCCCCAAAUGACAAGAACUGGAUGCCAGUCCUUAUCAUAUCUCUGAAAUCCUCACAUUAUUCUUGAAUAAUCCCCAACUUCUCAGCCUUUUCUACCCCAAAGCCUGAUUCCAGCUUUAACCAUAAACUGUCAGCCAGCACUGCUCCAAACAUAACCCGAAGCCUUCCGCCUCGCUGGGUACCAGCACUCAGGCUUGCCCAGAGGGGCAAAGAAAGAGGUGAUGCUCUUUAGUCCUUGGUGUCCCAAUCUCUAACCCUGACUUUAGUGUCUACAGACCUGAUGGUCUUUACGUACUGGCCCAUAAUUCUGAGUGCCAGAGCCAUUCACCCCAGCUAGCCCCAGCCCUCAUGGCUGUGUUUCUAAGGUCUUUGCUGGAGUCUGGGCACGGGGCUGGGGAUGGCCAGUGGGGCUUGCUCAGGGCACCUUUUGGUGGAGUAUAAGGUGGAAAGAUUUUGGGGGGGGGGCAUGGCUUGAGGGAUCAACUGGUUUGCUCCAGCUGCUGAGCGGAUGGUAGGCUGGCUGCAACCUAGACCGUGGGGCAAGGGGGAGCGUGAGAGUGUCGUACAUCAGUGAGAGAGCACGGAGGCACACUGUCACAGAGAAGCAGCAGUGGGUCAGCGAUGAUUAGAAAAGCCUGAGAAUGGCUGAUGUGUCCCAGUGACCUUGCUGCUUUCUUAAAACAAGCCUCAUUGCUGCUGCCUGCUUACUUCUCACUGCCCUUCUACUGGUUCUUCGUCACCAUCCCCACCCCUUGUCCUCCUGCCUCUGGAUCUCCAGAGCUACUUGCUCCUCUAGAGCUGGUUCCGCAGCCCUCCCCAGCCCUGCGGCACCGCUGCCUCGCCUGCUUCUGGCAGUCAGAUCUCCUCCAGGGGCCAAGCAUAUGAACCUGACGUUGCUUAUUACGAGGCGCUCUGCCACCCAUAUUUCACGCUGGCAUGUCUUGCUGGUUGGGAGCCAAGGACAGAGAGGGCUAUGGCCCCAGGUCUCUUAAGGUGUCAGAUGUGUUACUGUGAAUCAUGAGCUUGCUUGUGAAGAUUUUUGGGGAUUGGGCUCUAAACUGGCUUCAUUUAUUUGUUUAUGUUCAAGGUCCAUAUUGCAAUUUUUGUUUCUAAACUGCAUUUAAUAAGACUGUCAUAUAAAAGCUCUCCAAGUUUCUGGGAAGAACACUUAUUAAAAGUGGUUUUGUAAUUCUUACAGUGUGUGGUCUUUGGCUAUUCUGAACUUUUGCUGUGUUACAUUCAAGUAUAGUUUAGUGUAGUUGGAAAGAAAGCUUGGAAAGAGAAAAGCUGACAAAGAGCAGAUCAGACUGAGAGGGAGAUGGAUCUGGUUUAUGCUUCUAUUUUUUGCAGCAGAUGGAGUCGGUAUUCCCCACCUGCUUAAGGAGUGCCCACAGCUGACUGACUCACUAACACACCUUGUUCUGAGAGAAAUCACAACAGCAAAAGGAUGAUGUUUGUGGCAGUAGAGAAAGUGUUUAUUAAAUGGCAAGCUUUGCUUUGCAUGCUUAAGGUUGCAACUUCUUUCUUU